rnacentral:miRNA from 1 species
AUUAGGUAGGUACAAAAGUAAUUGCUGUUUUUGCCAUUACUUUCAAUGACAAAACUGCAAUUACUUUUACACCAACCUAAUA